rnacentral:rRNA from 1 species
UACGUAGGGGGCAAGCGUUGUCCGGAUUUAUUGGGCGUAAAGAGCGUGUAGGCGGCCAGGUAGGUCUGCUGUGAAAACUCGAGGCUUAACCUCGAGAUGUCGGCGGAAACCAUCUGGCUAGAGUCCGGAAGAGGAGAAUGGAAUUCCCGGUGUAGCGGUGAAAUGCGCAGAUAUCGGGAAGAACACCCGUGGCGAAGGCGGUUCUCUAGUACGGUACUGACGCUGAGACGCGAAAGCGUGGGGAGCGAACAGG